rnacentral:rRNA from 1 species
CAGUACCCGUAGGAGAAGAAAAUAAUAAUGAUUCUGCUAGUAGUGGCGAACGAACGUGGAUGAGGCUAAACCGUGUGCAUGUGAUACCUGGUAGGGGUUGUGUGUGCGGUGUUGUGGGCCCUGAUGAGGAUGGCUACUGACGUCCUGCCCGCGCAUUGUUGUUAGGUGAAGUGGUGUGGAAACGCCUGCCGUAGAAGGUGAUAGUCCUGUAGCUGAAGAUGAUGGUGUGUGGGUUGUUGGGUUGCCCGAGUAGCAGCGGGCUCGUGGAAUCUGCUGUGAAUCUGCCGGGACCACCCGGUAAGCCUAAAUACUCAGUGUGACCGAUAGUGGAUAGUACCGUGAGGGAAUGGUGAAAAGUACCCCGGGAGGGGAGUGAAAUAGUUCCUGAAACCAUGUGCUUACAAUCCGUCAGAGCACUUUUUGUGUGUGAUGGCGUGCCUUUUGAAGAAUGAGCCUGCGAGUCAGCGGCAUGUCGCGAGGUUAACCCGUGUGGGGUAGCCGUAGGGAAACCGAAUCCUAAUGGGGUGUUUAGUGGCAUGUCCUGGACCCGAAGCGGGGUGAUCUACCCAUGG